CGCUGUUGGGUUCCCGGACCCCUCUCUCUGUGGAGAACACCUGGAGCACAUCCUCCAUACAGUUUAAUUCAUGUUUGACCCGCCACUGAUGGAUCAUCUGUUCACCUUCAACAGUGUCCUAUGCUGUUUUGUGAAGCUCGCGAUGCUUUUUAUCACUCUACUGUUCCACGCCAUUGACUUACUGACGUCUUACUGCAGGCGACAUGGAAAUAUGGAGGAGACACUCUCAUGCUGAAGCAAUUGCAGAUUAAAUCGGUCUCGGUCUGCAGUAGAUACUAGAGGAAAGACACCACCCUCUUCUGUGUUUGGGGUACAACACUAGAGACUGGACCAAAGAAGUCAGAGGGGUGAUCUUCAUGUAAAUUGAUUUGGUAUGGAACUCAAGACUGGAUUUUCCUCUCACACCAGAAGUACCUUAUUUUAAAGAGACACACUGGAGCUCAAAAUGGAGUUGGUAACUUAAACUGAUGAUCAUUUAAAUAAAAAAUUAGGUGAC